rnacentral:lncRNA from 1 species
AUUUGCCCCCUUUUAGUUUACUUGACUCUACUUCCUUUCCCUAUGUUUGGUAUGGAAAUUUAGGUGUCAAAAAAUUAAUUUUAUUGUAAGUAAAAGGAUUUUUGGCAGUAAAUUUGAGUUCUCUUGUUAAUCUUAUCAUCACAGUGGGGAACCCCUUAUCAAUAUCGUAAUAUGAAACUGGGAACUUCCAUAGCCACUGUCUAUGUAUUAUGCAAGUCUUAAUCAAAUGCAGUCAAGGUCAACAUGGUCAUCUCAUGAUCAUGGUAUAUAUUAGUUGCUAUUGGCUAAUUAUAAUUAGAGUGACCAAUCAGGAAACCGCACAUGAUAGCACCAUUGCAUGUGAGGGGACACUUGGUCUUUUACAAUUUCGUUUUGGAAGCUGCUAGACGCCAUUUUGUGAUUUCAAGAGAAAAAGCCAAUUCUGUUAACCCACCCUCCCACACCUUUAAAAUAUUGUUUUAGCAUAUGUUUAUGUUUUGGGUUUAUUUGUUGUUGUUUUUUUUUUUUUUUUUUUUUCUUAUUUGUGUAACAUAUUGUAUACUUUAUACUGGCGGUUUUUAUUCGCCACCUUUGCUAAUUUUUUGUCAUUUAUUCAGAUUUGGAUUUAUUGCAUAAAUUCCAUAUUUGAUUAUAUAAUACAGAAUAUUAUGAUUUUAUGGUAUGUUUGAAUAAAUGACCUUUAUCGCAAAUAGUUAUUUAAUUCACUGCAAAUGAACUCAAACUCCUUGGAAAUUAAGGUAUGGUUUUAAAUAAGACCGAAACUUGGUAUUAUGCCUGUCUGUUAUUUUCGGAGGUUGGAUUUGCCCC